UAAAGAGGUUAUAUUGAUAUUUAAUACAUCAAACGAUUAAGAGAAAUCUUAUUUUAAUUGUAUUAUUUAAUUAAUAAGAACAAAAAAUAAUCAUAAAAGAAUGUAGAAGCAAAAAAUAUGGCUUUUGCUAUGAUUAUUCUAUUUUUAUUAUUUAAAAAAUUCUAAUGCAUUUAUGUUUAACGAUCACGCCGCCAGGGGGAUACAUGUUUCCUUGCAUUAAGUGCAUCCGCGAUGCGUUCAAACGUGUUAGAUAAUUUUCUAAUUAAUAAAUCAAUAUUUUAAAAGGUAUAUAUAAAAAAAAGUUAUAAAAAUAAAGUGAAUUUUUAUUACAACUUAUAUUUCAUAAUAUCAUGGUAUAAAAACAAAGAUACCAAUACAUCUAAAGCUUCAUCUAAUUCAGCUUCGGUUAAAUCACCACGAGCUUUAACUCUUAAACCUAGUGUGUUAUAAUGAACUGAUAUAGCAGAACGCUUUGGUCUCCCUUCAACUGUAAAGAAAAAUAUCGAGAAAAUGUUUUUUAACCACUCCGCUAUCCCAGCCAAUAAUAGAAGCAACAUCCACAACAGGGAAUUCUAUGACGAACACGACAAACCAUUAGAUACGAUGGACGGAAAUUAUGAGACCAUUGAGAUAUGCAAUGAGCUUCAUCUAUACAAGCAAAAGCUAUCGGUGGCAGUUGUCUAAGUAAAGCACCAAAUCCAGUUGAUUUCUCACCAGCCACUAUUGCUUCAGGAGUUUGAUUAGUAUGCAAACAAGCUGCGGAUAAAAAUGAUGCCAUGCUAGUUACUUGGUCGUCCAUUAAUGAAACUAAUGGCGAGAUAACUAAUGUUAUGCAGGUUGAAUAUUUAGAAUAUAAAUAUGCCGGUAAUUGAUAACAUAAAGAUUUUCCAGAACCAGUUGACAAAGGAGGCAUAAUUUGGCUAUCAAUUCAUCAGGAAUUUUAUGGACUACUGGAAUUUCCUGUAAUAAAUUUUAAUAAUUAGAUAUAGUAAGUAUAUAA
rnacentral:lncRNA from 1 species